CUACUAUAUAAGCGAGUGUUCGAUUACUAAAGUUUAUACUCAAGCUGUGCAAUUAAUCACAAAAGAAUAAUAAUGGAGCUCCUUUUAGCAAAUAACAACGUUAAACUGCGCGAUUUCUUUAUCCAGGAUACAAAAUUUGGAUAUCCUGGCAGUGUGGGGACAUAAAAUAGCCUACUACGUGCUACAUAAACAUUUGACAACCGAGGUAGAAUAUCCUCGGCAUUAUACUUGCGAGUAUAAUUUAAUAAAAUUCGACACUAACAAAUGUUACGCUCUCUGCGAGGUUAGGAUUAAUCGCCGAGCCCCUUAUGAAAAUAUUGAGCAUUUAGAUUUUAAAGUUAGGGUGGAAUUAAAAUUCCGCGAUGUUUCCUUGCAGUGCGAAACAAAUUUAAUAAAUCAAAAAUUGAA